ACCAAGACGGGCACAAGGUGCAAGCUGCAUUGAUUUCAUUGGUAGUGUGUGGACUGGGAACUCCUGCCUGUAUUUAUGAGGGUACGGAUUCAGGACUCCCUUCUUAAUUCCAUUGCUGAUUUAUUGCAGAAGAAAGGUACUUAGAUCUGCUUUGAAGAGGCAACCCGAGAGUGUGUUUCUUCCUCUAAGUACCCUUCACUUCCCAGUGGCUUGGUGGGACUCUGGAGAUAUUAACAGUAGGACUGGUUUGCUGCUUUUUGUGUUUCCAGCUCCUGCAGUAGCUCCUGGAGCACCCAGGCAUUGGCAGACAUGUUGGAAGGCAGCCAUGCAGGCGGUGGGGUAUAGCUGAUACCUGUAGAUGGGGCCUUUUUUCCUCGAAAGGAGCAAUGAUGUGGAUCUUGGUAAGUCUGUAGCGUGCAUCAGCUAGAAGUGGUUUCACAGAAUGCUUUAAAUCAAAUCUCUGUAUCUAAAACAGAAGAGCAUGAGAUGGAAAAGAAAUUAAUGUUUAUCUUUCCACUGUAUUUCAGCUACUCUGAAGAACUGUAAGACUUUUUUUUUUCCUUAGCUUUCUGGAACUUCUAAUGCAUUGUAUGCUGUGUAGAGAGUAACAAAGCACCAGUUUGAAGGAAGACAGAAAUGCAUAGGAUGUUUAAUUUUAAUUUUGGAAUAUCACUAAGAGAGCUCAAAGAAAGAUGCUGGCUUGGGUUGAGUUAGCAAUUCAAUGAAAUAUAUGCAUAGGUUGACAUGCAGAGUAAUGACGGCAUAUGACUGAACUGUCACCUAGCUGAGGGGAAAAAAUCUGCCCUUGUGCUGGUUUCUGACUGUUGAUCUCAACCAAUGAGUGAUUCACGUUUCUAACAGAUGUUCCUGAUUUAGGCCAAUGAAAGCUUAUGGGAGCUUUUUCUAGUCUCUGAGGAAAGAACGCCAGCCCAAUCAAACAAGCGAAUUUGGAGCUUGGCAUCUGAAUCGAUCAGCAAAGCUGGAUAAUUUCCUCUUGCAAAAGCUGUGUGCCAUCAUUAUUCUAUGACACCCUAAGAAUUUGUUAAUUAGUGCUGACUUGUUAUUUUUGUCAUCUCCUGCAUUUAAUCAUUUAGCCACUAUUGCCAUCUACCAAGAAAGACACUAAAGCCACUUAUUCAAAAGCCCUGCCUGGCUUGUCCAAAAUAGCACACCAUUCCCAAACCAGCAAAAUAUGAUGCAUACAGCUGCCCCAGCUACGUGAGUAAUUGUAGCAAAUAUUUCUAGAUGCACAGCCACAAAACAAACUCAAGAUGGCUCUGUGUUAGCUGAUAUUUGCCUUUUUAAAAUUAUUGCUAUUGUCAUUAACAUCAUAAAAGCAAAUGGGACUCUGCUGCAAGCCAAACACAGCUGAAAGGACCUCAGGCAGUAGCAUAAUGUAACAAUAAAACCAAAUUCAUGGGGUUCAUCAUCAAAAACUACACUUUGAUUUUUGUCAGCUACAUAGUUACUGCAAAUUUUUAUCCAAUUUCAUCUGCAUGGUGCUCAAGUCCAGUAUUUCUUCGAUUUUUAGUUUGGCAAGGAAGAAUGUCUGAUUUGUUUCACGCCUACUUUGUAAAAUAGCCUGACAAUCAGUGACAUUUCUGGAAGAUGCAAAGUUUCACAAUAUCAAAAAAUACAUGCGGUGAAUCAACCUUCUCAUUAGAAUCUUCAAAAGUGAUUUGACAGCUAAUUCUUGUCACAGGAUAGCGGGAGUCCCUUGGGACUGUGGUGCCUGUCUCCCCAUCACGCUGUAUGACAGGGUUGCCAGUUCACGGGGUGGGAGAGCAGUUUGCUUCAUUCGCUUCCUCCACACUGCAGCUGCACCUAGCCCCAAAUCUGUCACUUAAAGUGUUCAGAAACCACUUCUAAAAAAAUUAGGUGUCAAAAUUUGAAAAUAUUUAAUCAAUUUCACUGAUGUCAUGCACUAUGUCCAUAAAAAUGCUUUGUGUGUGUGAAUAUUUGGAAGCCAAGCUGAAACUAAGUGUAAGGUCCUUAAGGAGGAUCAACAAAUGAAGGGAGGGAGAUAAUGAGCGGAUUUUGGAGAGCAGUUAUUGCUAUGGUCAAGGAUCUCCAACAGGAGCAUCUAAAUCUUUGACAGAGAUGUGUCUCUAAUUUAUAUUCUUUUACAUUUAUCCGUGAUGGUGUGGUUUAUCAUCAUUCUUUUGUCUGCUCUCUGGUUUAUGACCCUCAUGUGGGAAAGCUAAAUUUAGCAUAAAAUAGCCAUAGCGCAUUAAAUCACAAAAAGAAGAAAAUCACAUUAAUAAGUCCUAUUGAAAUGGGAUUUAUGACUCAGUGCUAAAGUACUUUAGAGCUAUAGAUCAAUAUUUUUUAUUAGAGCUGUAGAACAUGCUCCAUCAAACUACCAGUAAGUAUAUACCAAUAGACGAUUAAAACACCUGUAGACAUUGAUAAAGUCUACUUAGAACUGAAAUUAGCAUUCUGUAAAAUACAUAACGUUUCUCAAGAAAGGCUGUAAUAUAGGAAUAGAUCUGUAAUUUAUAGUUUCUACUUAGGGAUGGUCUGUGAUUAAAGCACUACAUUAUUUUUUUCCUUGUAGCCCUGAGUAACCCUGUCUCCCUUGCAGUCUUUGACCCUGCAAGUCGCUGAAGGAUCUGGUGCAGAGUGCAGAACAUGAAUGAACAUUCAAAAAUGAGUGGCAAGGGUUUUCUUGGCUCAUUAAUAUUAACAUCAUUGCCUUGUGGAAUUAGAAAUAAGAGAGGCGUUGCUUUGUUACUUUUGAUUCUCAACAGUCUUGGAAUUUUAUUUUUAAUGUGCUGUAGAUACAGUCUUUAUUCCCCUGCAGAGAGAAUCGACAUUUUCUCCAAGCCCUUAACUUACAAUGUGGCAUAGUGAUAUACGGGAUAAGAGAUCCUGGACUUCCUGAAGCAUAUCUAGUUCCUUGUCGUGAUACUGCUGUUUAUCUCAUCUCUCUGAGUAUGUAUUUUUGGAGAUGUACUUAUGAGUUCAGUUCCCAUUUUGUGCAAGCCUGUUGAUAUGUGCAAAUGUGCUCUCUCAUUUUUUGGUGGGGUAAGAUGGGCGACCUUGCUCAUUACUAUCAUGUGGUUGUAGUAUUUGGUGCUGUUUCUGUGCAAGAACAUCAUUGCUUUUCUGUGGGACUGCUCCUUUAACUCUCGUGUGUCUAAGUGUAAUUUGUAUAUGAAUUAAUGCUUCAUAGAGGGUGGUAAAUUCUGGCGAGAAGUGCUGUGUGACGCCCUGUCCAGGCAAAGCAUUAUUAGUUGGGUGGACAGCUGGGCAUAAGAAAUUUGAGAACUCUGAAAUGGGGUGAAAAGCCUUUGUUUUUUCUUUCCUGUAGUCUUCCACUAGUGCCUACAGAGUGUAAAAAGCCCAAGUCAUAUAUCUUUUAUCCAGCAGCUAAAGAUGCAAAACCUCAUGGUGGUGGGUUUAGGGGUGUGAGGGGAAUUAGUUGCACCAAUCUGAAAAUGCGGAGUAAAUUACUUGACUCCAGCCUAAGGAGGGGGCUGGGGAAGCUGUGUGCUUUCUCACUGGUUUGACUCUGGGAUGGGAAAAUUUUCUCACAGCUGGGGGAUCUAGUAAUCUCCUGGCUGCAGGCUUUGAACUGAAAAUACAGGCUACUAUCAGAGCUAGGUUCCUCAGGCCCUAAUGUGGGAUUAUGGUGAUAACUGCACGGUUUAAUAAAAUGUUGUAGCUGGGAUUUGAGUGGGAGCUGUUCAGAGCAUGCCAGCGUAAGCACGGCCACAACAACGAGACGUGCAGCUCUCGGCACUGCUUUGAGCAGAAGGCAACAGGCCAGCAAACAGGCAAAGCUUCUAACAGCUGCUGAGGUUUUAAAACUUGGAGAUGUUUAAAACCAGAUUUUUAUAAAAGCUGACCUAGUAAAGAAAGUCUUGCAGGUUUAUUUCGCAGGCUGCACUGCAUAUAGUAGUAAGGCACUUUGUGUAGACACUGAAAUCUAUUUCAGUUCCUGAGGGAGAAAGAGAAAUCAAAUGCUUAAUCAAGGUUCUGUUCAAAAUCAAAAUGUGUGUGAAGGAGGAAAACUUGUUUGAAAAUACUUCUAGAGGCAGUGAAUAAAUCCUGUAAUGAUCACUUCAGGGGAAGAGAAACCCUUUACCCAGCCAGUAAAUCCUCCAAGGUUUAUUUCUCUUCAUUUCCCAUUCAGAGCUAGAAAUGGAGGAGGGAAACACAUCUCAUGUGGUUUUUCCCUAUUGCUCAUGUUGUGGUGUAUAAACACUCAGAAAGCCCCAAAAGCUUUUAUUUGUUUCAGUCACAAAGAAAACCUUCAAACUGUGACAUCUUUGGGGAGAAAUGUGUUCAUACAGUGCAACGGGACUGCUUUCAUCGCCUGAACCUCCUUCCUGCAUUACAGCCUGCUUCUCAUUGUGACUCAGUUGCCCAGGCAGUCCCUACUCAUGGGGUCAAACUGGAACAUUUUCAAGAGAAUGUGCUAAAAUCCAAGAACGUACAAAAAGUUGCCCAGUGACCAAAUGCCUCUGAACUCAUUCCAAACCUUGCUUGGAAAUGUUGCUUCUUAAAUGUUGGAAAUGUCUUGUGGCUAUAAUGGGAAGCUGAUAGUGUCCUGGAAACAUAUCCCUCUGGAGUUUUACUGUACAUUUAUUAUUAAAAACAAGCUACUGAGAUUCAGAGUCAUACCAGCAGACCUCCCUUCCACACACCCUGAAAGGCUUGCUUGUGUACUACAAUCAAACCAUUAGGAAUUGGUUCUUUCUGAGGAAAAUACAGAAAAAGGACUAAAGUAAUUAUCCAUAUACAGGACUCCAUGAGAAUUUCAUCUGGAUAUCUUCUGGUUGCUACUCUCUUGGGCUGAAUUUCAACAAGUGACAGAAAGAUGAAGGGUUCUUGUACCCUUUGAUCAACCCUCCUUUAGACAUUCUACGUAACAACACAUGUUUAAAGAAUGGCUAGAAAAUAGCCAUUAUUAGAAUAACAAGACACUAGAAUUUUUUUUUUUUUUUUUAAAUAGUAUUCAUUAAGUAACCCCUUUCUGGUUGCUUCUGUACUACUGCAUCUUAUUUUUAAAGAUGAUCUGGGACAGUGAUGGUGCAGGUUGUUUUCUGUGACUCUCCUAUAAAUAUCAAGACAUAUAUAUAAAUAAUCCAAGGUAAUUCUGUUCACUUUGGUCAAGAAUAUUCAUGUGGUUUGGGUUUUUUUUUGGGUUGGUUUUGUUUGUUUGUUUGUUUGGGUUUUUUUGGUGUGUGCAGUCCUUACAUAAUAUCAAUGGCUGAUUUUUUUCCUGCCCUGGCUUCCAUUGCUUAGAUUACUGUAAUCACACCUUACCGGUCGUCUUUACAUUAAAAUUGCUGUUGUCUGUAUAUGAGGAUAACCAUUUUCUUUACCGAGAUUAUUAGAACAAUCUAUUCUUGGGCAGUGAUCAAGCUUGCAGUGAAGAGACUAUUUUGAUUACAAGUUUUUAGCAUCUGGCUCAACUCCUUACAUCUUUUGGGACAGUUCAGCCUCUCUGCCCACAUCUGCAAUUGGUAGCACAGCUGUUGCUGACCCCUGCAGUGGACACAUAAAGUGACAACAAAGAUCAUGCACUCUGAGAAUAUUUUUGUUUAAGAAAAAACAGAUGAAUCCGUGUUGCAGAACGUACUUUAUAUUGAAUUUGUCUAUCUUGUUACCUAAUAUUUAAGAAUUUUUUUAAUUGGUACUGCAAAGGAGCCUAGCAACUGCAUGUGGUUGAUGUGGAAUUCCUGGUCAAUCAGAAUAAGGGUAACCUCUUGCUUUAGAAUAGCUUUGAAUUUCUAUAUAAUGAUAUGAAUAAAUUUUUAAGGUAUAGAUUUACAAUUGCCUUAAUUACUUUUUGAAACCUUAGUGACAGGGAAAUGUCAUGUGGUUCAAUAUCUGGUUUUCAGUCAGCCAACUAACCAGGUGUCCACAUAACUCUACGUAUUUUCAGUGUGACACAACUGGGACCACAGUCUCAGCUGCUGAGUCUUUCUUGUGCUUCAUGUCAGGAUGUAUACACAUGGAGAGCCAGAAAUAGUAUGAAGAAAUGAGAUAAGCUUAUCCAGCUAUAAAUUAGCCUUUCUGGUUCUGAUUGCUUUUAAGCUUGGAUCUGCAAACAGUCAGAGAUCAAAGGCUAAGACUUCUGUAUUUCUUAAUCUAAUUUUACAUCCCGUUCUUGAAAUAGCAGAAGUAUGCACAUUUUUUACAGAUAUCAGGACAUCUUCCUUCAUUGAGCUCAUCCAGGGGUAUUCAGGAAACCUUACAAAGUGAUGCUGACAUCCGUUUUCUGGAGAGCAUUCUUUGUUCUUAUAGUACAAAUCUCACAUUUAAACUCCAUACUAAGAUGCACAGGCAACUUCUGUUUGAAGAACAUUCAUGUUAUCAUGUCUUUUCCUCAUCGACAACUGCUUUUUAUUUAAAAUAUUUUCAUAUUGUUUCCUUUUUUUGCAGCAUUACUGGACAAUAAUAUCUUGUGGAGUUUUGUAAUAAUUUCCAUAAACACCCUGAAGCAAUGUUUACAGAGACUAUGUUUUGUACUAUCUGAAAUUAUGGUGGUGAGGGUUUGGUAACACAAAAUUCAGUUAUAUUCAUCAUACAGGCUUUGUUGUCUGGUGUGCUGGUGAAAAGUGAAGAAAGAGGAGGAGGAGUGUGCAGGUAAGGAUGACUACUCUGUAGUAGCAAGCCGAAUAUUAUUUCAGUGAGAAUACAUCUAAUUUUGUCUGAGGGGGCUCCCUGUAUUUGCACCUGGGGUUCCUGUAGAUAUAAGGAUGGCUUGAGUCUGAAAUGCUGAAGAUUUUAAUGGAGUUUCAAGGUUUUCCAUACAUUUUUUGUGAACUGUAGCUUUCCCGAAACCAUUGUAACAGGCAUGGAAAUGACAGAAAUGCUUCUAGAAGUGAAGCUCCACAUGAGUUGUCUACUUUAUUUUAGCAGGGUGCAGAGUUUCAAGAAAAUUGAGCAACUGAUAUAUGGGUCACAUCCCUGGUUGGCCUUAGGGCCAGCUGCCACUCUGCAUACAUGAAUGCACAUGAGUCAUCUCAAUGCCUAGGGGAGGAGGUAGCUCCAUAGGUUAGGGUAACAUGACAGCUUGUUGGAAAUUAGAGCAGAGACAGGGGCCUUCAGAAGUUUAUAAGCAGAACAGGUGGCAGAAAGUAAGGGGUAAUCACACAUUUUAAAUUAAAAAGAAAAAAAAUAAUCUCUGGAGGCUGCAUGGCCCCAAAAUCUUCUGCUAGGUGCAGGAAGGCUCCUGUGAGAUACAAUGCAUCAGCCACCUAGCAGCCGUACUUUGGCAGGCUGCUCUUUAUCCAGAAAGCCUACUCACUUAGUCUUCUGUAGGGGAUUUAUGUGCUUCACUGAAUGUCCACCUGCUGCACGCGUAUGUCAGCAGCCAGCUCCUGAAGAGCCAUUGCGGGUGCAAUGGGGUUUUGGUGGUGGUUUUUGUCUUUGGGAUAGACUUUUGGGAUAUAUGCUGCAAUUUCUUGGCUGCAUAAAAGGUGUAAUGAGAAACAGAUAAGAAAUGAGCUGAAUAGUCUUGCUGCUUCUGAUAAUAAGGAUACAGGUCCUCAAUGGCAUGAUGCACUACUCUCAGAUCUUUUUUCAGUACUGACUGUUAAACUUCUGCUACUAGAAGGCCAAAUUGGCCUGGUGAAACAGAUCAGUGCCCUAUGCUGUCAAAGUAGUGAUCCUGAGCAGCAUAGAGAAAUCUAGAAAGCAGCAGCACUUCUAUUUCUUAUAAGCUGAUUAUUUGUAUAAGGAAAAAGAAUGGAAAUAUGUGAAUGGAAAAAACCUCAUUUUCCUGUCUUUUAAGAGUCUCUCCAGGUCUCAUCUACAGGACUUCAGUGUGGGACUGACCAUUCAACUUUUGAAAUAUUG